rnacentral:rRNA from 1 species
GACGAACGCUGGCGGCGUGCUUAACACAUGCAAGUCGAACGGAAAGGCCCUGCUUUUGUGGGGUGCUCGAGUGGCGAACGGGUGAGUAACACGUGAGUAACCUGCCCUUGACUUUGGGAUAACUUCAGGAAACUGGGGCUAAUACCGGGUAGGAGCUCCUGCUGCAUGGUGGGGGUUGGAAAGUUUCGGCGGUUGGGGAUGGAAUCGCGGCUUAUCCGCUUGUUGGUGGGGUAGUGGCUUACCAAGGCUUUGACGGGUAGCCGGCCUGAUAGGGUGACCGGCCACACUGGGACGGAGCUAGGGCCCAGACUCCAACCGGAGGCAGCAGUGGGGAAUAUUGCACAAUGGGCUGAAGCCAGAUCCAGCCACGCCGCGUGCGGGAUGACGGCCUUCGGGUUGUAUACCGCUUUCGCCUGUGACGAAGCGUGAGUGACGGUAAUGGGUAAAGAAGCACCGGCUAACUACGUG